ACAAACCAACAUGGGGCCCGGGCCGGAGGCUAGCCUCAAUAUGGACGAACCCUAAGACGGAGACGUCCGCACCAUUUUAAAGGCGAGCCACCAUGAAACGCAGAAACUUCUAGUCCCGAUAGUUCAGCCGCUUAUUUUCGUUGCUACAAUAUGUCAGUGAGUUUUGCCUUUUCCUUUUCUCAGUUCCUUUUUAGGCAGGGCGUUCUGUGCCGUUCUUACCUGAUAACGUAGACGUUUAGGAAAAAGGAUAGAAUUAUUGGGUUGAAUGGAAGCACGUCUUUAAAAUAAAGAUACUGUAACAGGGUGGUCCCCAGGAAAGGGGGAGGUUCCAGGUUCCCUGCCCCACCCAAAUGGAGGGUGGAGGUCUCAUGUUUUGUGUUGAUGAGGUGGAUGGCAGAACCCAUUUAGAAUAGGCAGGUUUGCGGGGUUUGGGCUGCCCCUCUCCCUGCCCUGUAACAGUACCAGCCGUUGAAAGCAGGUAUUUAGAGAACCGAAGCAUCGAACAUGGAAGCUGUGAAAAGGGCAGAGGAGGCCCCAUUUUAAAACGCAAACCACUAACUUUAUGCACAGCCCGGGGAGGCUUUCAAAAAGGAAGAUUUCAAGGCACAUUUCAAAUUUGGUAGCUGAAUUGAGAAAGUGAGGACUGAAACUUGGAUAGGGAGGAAAUUCCAUGAUAUGGAAGGAUCUUAGGAAGUAAGGAUUCCUUGUGCUGUUUAGGAUUUUGUAAAACUAUUCAAUAACUAACUGCUUACUGUUAUCUCAAGAUAGAUCAGUUGGUUAUAGCAUCUUGUUAGGAGGCCUACGUUAUAUGGAAUAGCCUAGCUUUUUUUCCCCUUCUUUCAGAAAACUCUACUCCAAGGCCUUAAACUACAUUGCUAACCCUUAGAAUUGCAUGAAGUCAUUAUUUUGGGUAAAAGAGUGGUUUUAAAACGGUCCUAGCAGAGAGUUAUUGCUGUUACUAUGUAGAAUUAUUUUAUAUAGAAUUAUUUUAAAUAUCCUCCCUGUGACAUUGUAUUAGGUAAAAAUUCAUAGUUUGUAUUCAGUUUUCACCUUAUUCAGAUUUGGUAAAAUCUUUAUCCAUUAUAUCAGACAAAUAACAUUUACUGCAAUGAUGUGUGUAUGUUCUGUAAGGAUACAAUAUCUAUAUAAAAUCUCCACUCAGGAACCUGGAAUGCAAACGAGAUUUUCAUUUUUGUAAUUUUUUUUGUGGUCCUAUUAAAAAUUUUUCAACUCAAACCCCAAAUUUGCACAUAUUUCCCAAACUGGGUUAUAGGAGACAAGAUGUUUUUGAAUACUGUCUCAUUUAGAUAUUCUCUCAUUUAUUCUUAGAAGAUGAAAAAUAACUUGUCUGGAUGACCAAAUGUUAGAGAGCCACCCAGCAGAACUCCAUUUUGUUUUUUGCUCUUGAUGAAAGCCAUUUGAAAGCAAUAACUGCAGAACCUCAGAGCUUUCACUGCAGAGAUUUGCACCUGUGGGCCUAUAUGUCUCCCCAGAUGCCAUCCUAAAACCAUUAGCUUUGCUAGCCUUGUAAUCUGUGAAUUCCCCUGUUGCAAAUGAGGAAGUAUUUGAGUGUUGUUUUUUUUUAGGUCCCUGAUGAUAAUCAGGUUUCAGAGAGUAUUAGAACCAAAAGGGACCUUUAAAUAUUUGAAUUUGGUAUCUUUAUGCCAGAAAAAUGUAGUUAAUUUAUUUUGCCACCUCUUGAGUACCUGAGAGGAAAGGCUGACUUUCACCUCUUUACCCAUAAACUUACAUGGAUCUAUUUGUUUACAUUUUAUGUAGAUAUAUAUACUUUAUCUUACCUGAAUAGUAUUCAACUAUUGAUGGAAUAUAAGCACAGUAUGAUUGAUAGCUAUUGACUUAACAUUUUAAUUGAUUAUGCAAGAUUUUGUCAGGCUAUUUCAGGGCCUGUAAAAAAUUUCCUUCCUCCCUCCUUCCCUCCCUUCCCUCCCCUCCCUUUCUCUCUCUCUCUCCCUCUCUUUUUAAAGGACAGGUUUACUAGGAGAAGGAGGAAGAAAGGAGAGGCACCUACAUAGUCAGAGAUGGGCAGGAGAGCUACUGCUUUGCAAAGGGAAAAGGAUCAGAGCGAACCGGUGGCAUCCAGUCGAUGUAUGCUUCAGGUAUAAAGUUGGACUCAUCAGACUCCACCUGGGCUUUCCUCUUCUCGAGGGUACCAGGGCAUUUUCGUUGGCCGGGUUGUCCAGUCCUGCCAAUGGAGGCAAGCUUCCUCACCUUCUUUGGAGGUCUCUGGAACCCUACAAACAAAGCAAACAGAGCAAGGGCCUCCCUGGUGGCACAAGAGGUUAAGCACAGCACUAUGAAGCAUCCACAGCUUCUGCAACAUGAGUUCGAUCCCCGGCCAGUCGGGGAGCUACCCACAUGGCUCAGCAGACCUCUCCUGACUCGCCCACUGCUCCCUUCAGCAGUGUAUUUCAUUCACUCCAUCUGUUCUGUUCUCCACUCUGUCUCUGGUGAAUCCUCUCACCCCCAGCACCUCUGGCCUGUACCCCAGCUCUUGUAUGCAUAAAUAAAUCUUUAAAAAAAUAAAAUAAAGAGCAGGAUAAAAGUGUUUCAAUAUUAAGAACUCAAUUGAAAAGUGAGCAGAGGACUUCAAUAGAUAUUUACCCAAAGAUGAUAUCUAAAUGGCCAGUAAGCACAUUAAAAUAUAUUGAACAUCAGUAAUCACUAGGGAAAUGCAAAUCAAAGUCAAGAGAUUCCAUCUCACACUCAUCAAAAUGGCAACUGUCAGAAAAAUGCACACUCACAACGUUGGCAAAGAUAUGGACAAAGUGGAAAGCUUGUACAGUGGGAGGAACCUAAAACAGUGUCACCUCUAUGGAAAGCAGUAUGGCAGGUCCUCAAAUUUAUGAAAUAUAGCAGAAUUGCCAUAUGAUCCAGCAAUUCCAUUUCUGGAUGUAUUCCUAAAAGAAUUGAGAACAAGGUCUGGAAAAUAUAUAUAUGUAUAUAUGUAAUUUUUUAAAAAGGAUUUUAUUUAUUUUUGUGUAGAAGAAUUGCAGUGUAGGCCAGAGGUAUGGCGGUGCAGGGAUGGGAUGAGAGGAUUCAUCAGAGACACAGUGAGGAGCAGAACAGGAAGAUCUACUGAAGUAUGCUGCUAAAGGGAGCAGCCAUAGACACAGGGAAUCUGCUGCACCAUAUGUGAGUUAGCUCCCUGACUGGGGAUCUGACUCAGGCUGUCACAGUGACAGUGCUGAGGUUUAGACCCUAGGCCACCAGGGAAGCCCUUGAAGAGGUAUUUGUAUACCCAAGUUUACAGCAGCAUUAUUCACAAAAGCCAAAAUGUGAAAGCAACCCUAAUGUCCAUUGACAGAUGAAUGGAUGGAAUGGAAUGGAAUAUUCUUUGGCAGAAGGAAAUUCUGACACAUGCUAUAUAACAUCUACAAAUCUUGAGCUAUUAGGCCAAAUGAAAUAAGCUUAUCACCAAAAGUUAAAUACUGUCUGAUUCUAGAAUAGUUAACUUCAUAGAAAAAGAAAAUGCAAUGGUUAUUGCCAAAGGUUAGGGGAAAGGGGGAAAGGGGACUUGUUUAAUGGGUAUAUAGUUCUAGUUGUGUUAAGAUGAACAGAGACUGGUUGCAGAAAAACAUGAAAACACUUGUACUACUAAACUGUACAUUAAAAAAUGAA